CAAGUAAAGAAAUUUAACAAAACUUAACGUUGAGCAUAAAUUGGUUGCGGGUCCUUUAAGAAACUGUGUUUGCAACACUUGCUUUGAGGCACUCCCGCAUGUAUCGCAUGUGAACGUUUUUCAGAGUGAGCAGAGCAACAUAAGCAAACGGGUGCUCGGGUUUGGUGCCAUUAUCUUGAUUUUGGCAAGGACGUUUAUGGAUUUGCAUGUGUGAGGUGGAUCGGGUUUGAUCACGUUUUGGGACACGUGCAAAGACUGGCCAUUCAAGGUGCCAUCCAGCUCGUCGGGAGCAGCUGAGGUUAGGUGUCUUACUCAAGGACACUUCGACACUUGGUCAGAUGGAGCGGGGGAUUGAACCACCAACCUUCCGCAUUUAAGUUCCUGGCUGCAUCUGAAAACUGAAAAAUGCUGCCUUUGGAGGACGCAUUCCAAGAAAGGAAGGCAUCAAAGCACGUCCAAAUUUAAUGUUAGCUUCAGUUUCUGUCUCCUGAAAUGUCUUCAUCUGGCUCAUUUUUGAAGGCCUUUGAUAUUUCACAAUCCAGUCCCUUCUGUUCUUUGAAAGUUAAGCCAAAAAUUAAAGAUGGCAUCUGAAAGUUGCAGUCUGUGGUAUUUUUUUGUGUGUAAAUGUAUGUUUUUAUCAACAUUUUCCACUUUAUUUCUAGAGAGAAAUUAAUAUUGCAGUAAUUAAAUAUCCACUUAGUUAUCACCAAAGCUCUCGGUUUUGCUGAAGUUCGUUUAACUACUCUGCCUCAGAAACCUGUCCAAAAUCAGUUUCAUGAGGUGCCUUCGUGCAAAAAUGCUGCCUAUAAAUUAUUUGUCUGAUAUGGCAGCGAGAUAGCAAGUUACCCGCCUAAGUUUUUGGUCCCUGUCUGUGUGUUUCUCCUGUUGGAUUUACUUUGUAUGUACGUGCCAUUUCUUGUUCCUGUGUUCAGAGAAUUAAAAGACC